UAGUGACCGUAAAAAACGUUUCCAGUUAUAAGGCUCUAAAACUUUUACUGAAUGCAUUUCCAGUAAAUAUUGAAAUAAUAAAGGGUUUCAAUGAAAUAUGUGCAGUGUCACAUGACCAGAGCUGUUUACUUCCUGGUUGCACCAUGGGAAGACGAUGGCUGCAUCAAAGCUCCCAAACAAAAGUUUCACUUUGAGUCAAGUACUGGAUAUGUUGGAUCUAGGUGACUGCUCAGACAAGGCGUGCAACAUUGCAGUUAUCCUGCAGAGAUUGUGAUAGCGAUGGGUCAGAUAUGGACUAUGAGGGGGAGACAGGCCAUUUGCCAGCCAGGAUUUUGAAUGUAUAUGCUGAACCUAUACAAACUGAUCAUGACAGGAACGUUAUCCCUCACCACCCCACACUCUCCUCCCUGUGACUGGGUUGGGUCAUGGACCCAGUGUCAUUCUUGGUGUUGCAGAGCAAUCUCAGGUGCCUCAAGGUUGCAAGUUCCUUCAUGACAACCUCUUCACUUCGCUUGCACUCCUCGAUGAAAUGACAAAAAGAGGAUAUGGGCGCUCUGGAACGAUGAGGAAAAAUCACCUGUUUGAUGUCCCAUUCAAGCCACAGAAGGACUUCAUGAAGUUACCCCGGGGAACCUCUGAGGUUCUGACCCAAGGAGACAAGUUGCUGGUCCAUUAGAAAGACAAUAAUAUUGUCACAGUAGCAACAAACAUGGAGGAGAAAUACAGUGAGACCUCUGUCAAGAGAUGGAACAAGGAGUGACGUGCCUUUUGACAAAGUCCCACAACCAAAAUGCAUCAACCGAUACAAUAAGCACAUAGGCGGUGUUGAAUUUCACAACCUACAGGUUUCAAGAUACCAUAUCUCCAUCAGGUCUAAGAAGUGGUGGUGGCCCAUCUUUGCAUGGUCUCUCAACAGUGCACUCGUAAACAGCCAUUUAUUUUACAGAGAUGCUAUGGGAGGGACAUCAACCUGCUCACCUUCUUAUGGAUAGUGCCACAGUCUCUUAUGCAAAAGUUUGGCACGAAACCACUGAGCCACGGAAGGAGAUCUCUACUGGCUGCUACUGUUGAAGGUCAGGCAAGAUAUGACAAAGCUUCUCACUGGCCAAUCAACACGAUGCACCAGUUCCAUAGAUGUCGUCAUUGUGACACGCAUCACCUAUGCAUGUGAGAAAUGCAAAGCGCCACUGCAAAUUGAGUGCUUCAAGAUAUACCAUGGAGAGUAGAAACGGAGAUAAGAGCGAAUGAAAAAGGGCUGAAAAGGCUAAUAAAAUAGAAAAGACAAAGGGUGAGGAGAAGCAGUACAACGGACUCUAUGAAGAAAAGUCAACGAAAAAGAAUCAAAAUGACAAAUGUUUUUGGAAAAAAGGAUCAAUUGAUUCAAGACAUACUGUAUGACAAUAGGUCUGACUGAUCGUAGUUAAUCGUGCACUUGGUUCCUACCUCUAACCUCUAUAAUAUAUAUAAAAUCAUGCACUUGGUCCCUACCUCACACACACACAUAUAUAUAUAUAUAUAUUUUUAAUUAUGUUCAGUGUAGGCCUCUACUUGACUGAUCGUAGUUGUGAAUGAAUGACAAGACUGCUAUACAGUUGUUUGUGAAUGUUGCACUAAAAUGUCACAAUGACAAUGUUACAAUGAAUAUUGCACUAAAGUACAGGUUCAAAUGUUACAAUAAAGUUUCAAUAUUAAUGUUUCAAUACAUGUUGCACUAAAGUAAAUGUUACAAUGUAUGUUACAAUAAAGUAACAAUGUUGAAAUACGUU